rnacentral:lncRNA from 1 species
CCUUCUAAGUGUCACUUAAAAGGGGAUGCAAUGGGCUCGGCAUGGUGGCUCAUGCCUGUACUCCCAGCACUUUGGGGAGGCCAAGGCAGGUAGAUCACUUGAGCCCAGGAGUUUAAGACAAGCCUGGGCUGGCAACAUAGUGAGGAGGCUGAAGUAGGAGGAUCACCUGAGCCCAGGAGGUCAAGGCUGCAGUGAGCCAUGAAAAAUAAAAAAUAAAGGAUAGGAUGAGAAGUUAAGCUCCAGGGUUGCAAUGAAAAUAGCAGAGUUAACUUAGGUGAGUUCAGGACGUAAGCUGUGAUGACGCUCGGAUAUAGCCUGGCUGGACCCAGUGAGCCCAGGGCAUGGCUGCAACUGUUCAGACCCACAGUGGGACUCCCUCAACUAGGCAGGAACCAAGGUCCAGGAAGGCCCUACUGGGCCCAAUGAAGGCUAUUCUCUCCUGGGAUGGAGGUUCCCAUUCAAAGCCAGCUCCGUCCUCAGCCUAAGAAAAGUGAAGCGUUCCACAAACA